UACGUAGGGCGCAAGCGUUGUCCGGAAUCAUUGGGCGUAAAGAGCGUGUAGGCGGCCCGGUAAGUCCGCUGUAAAAGUCAAAGGCUUAACCUUUGAAUGUCAGUGGAUACUGCCGGGCUAGAGUCCGGAAGAGGCGAGUGGAACUCCUGGUGUAGCGGUGGAAUGCGCAGAUAUCAGGAAGAACACCAACGGCGAAGGCAGCUCGCUAGGACGGUACUGACGCUGAGACGCGAAAGCGUGGGGAGCGAACAGG
rnacentral:rRNA from 1 species